AUUCGUGCAAUCAGCCUGAAUGCAAUGUGGCGAAUUAUGUGGAGAAAAAUGCAGGAGUUUGUCACGCUUGCAGAUGGAACGAUAAACUCUAUUAUGACGGCGAUCACUGGAAAGAAAAUGGUGUCGAUUUUUUCUGCAUAAGGAGUUUCUAUGAAAGCCAUCGAGUAAGGCCUGGUUGCUACGUGGAAAGCACACGAGUCAAGUGCACAGGUGCAAUAGCAGGAAUAAGACAACUUUCCCUCAUAUCGAACCAUCAACUGUUCCUGUGUGAUAGUGGAGAUGAGAUCAGACCAAUCAGCGACAGAUGCGACAUUCGAGCAAAUUGCGAGGAUUUCUCAGACGAAAGGAACUGUGAAAAUUAUUAUUGUUCGUAUGAGACGGCGCAUGGAUUUCUGUGGAACAGGACUCAGUUGGGUCAGCAAGUUCAAAGGCAAUGCUCACUGGUUAACCCCA